rnacentral:misc_RNA from 1 species
GAUGAAGAACGUAGCGAAAUGCGAUACUUGGUGUGAAUUGCAGAAUCCCGUGAACCAUCGAGUCUUUGAACGCAAGUUGCGCCCGAAGCCGUCAGGCCGAGGGCACGCCUGCCUGGGCGUCACACGCCGUUGCCCCCCCGCGCCCCGCACCCAACUCUUUGGGAGCGACCGCGGGGCGGGCUGAUGAUGGCCUCCCGUGCGCUCCGCCGCGCGGUUGGCCCAAAUACCGAGUCCCCGGCGACGGGCGCCACGACGAUCGGUGGUUGAGAGCCCUCUGUCGCAAGUCGUGCGCGCCCGUCGCGUCACGCGGGCUCGCAUAGCGCCUCGCGCCGCACCCGGUGCGGAGCUUUCAACGCGACCCCAGGUCAGGCGGGGUUACCCGCUGAAUUUAAGCAUAUCAAUAAGCGGAGGA